rnacentral:tRNA from 1 species
AGGAGCAAGACGGAUUCGAACCGCCGACGUCAAAGACGCAGAAUUUAGCAAAUUCUUGCAAUAAACCAACUAUGCGAUUGCCCC